rnacentral:tRNA from 1 species
AGGGGCAUAGCUCAGUUGGUAGAGCAGCGGUCUCCAAAACCGCGGGUCGAGGGUUCGAGUCCUUCUGCCCCUGCCA